AGUGAACGCUGGCGGUAGGCCUAACACAUGCAAGUCGAACGGCAGCACAGUAAGAGCUUGCUCUUACUGGUGGCGAGUGGCGGACGGGUGAGGAAUACAUCGGAAUCUACUUUUUCGUGGGGGAUAACGUAGGGAAACUUCCGCUAAUACCGCAUACGACCUACGGGUGAAAUCAGGAGAUCUUCGGACCUUGCGCGAUUGAUUGAGCCGAUGUCGGAUUAGCUAGUUGGCGGGGUAAAGGCCCACCAAGGCGACGAUCCGUAGCUGAUCUGAGAGGAUGAUCGGCCACACUGGAACUGAGACACGGUCCAGACUCCUACGGGAGGCAGCAGUGGGGAAUAUUCGACAAUGGGCGCAAGCCUGAUCCAGCCAUACCGCGUGGGUGAAGAAGGCCUUCGGGUCGUAAAGCCCUUUUGUUGGGAAAGAAAAGCAGCAGGUUAAUCCCCCGCUGUUCUGACGGUACCCAAAGAAUAAGCACCGGCUAACUUCGUG
rnacentral:rRNA from 1 species